AUGGCGACCGCCUCGCCGCCGCUCGCCACCGCCUUCCGCCCGCUCGCCGCCGCCGGCGGCGCCGGAGGAGGAGGAGCGCACGCCGUGGGCGCCGCGGGCCGGGUCGCGCCGAGGCGGGGGCGCCGGGGCUUCGUGGUGCGGAGCGUGGCGAGCGAUCGGGAGGUGCGGGGGCCCGCCUCGACCGAGGAAGAGCUUUCAGCCGUGCUAACUUCCAUUGAUUCUUCCGCCAUCGCGUCAAAUAUCCAGCACCAUGCAGACUUCACACCGUUGUUCUCACCAGAGCACUCUUCACCCCUAAAGGCUUACCAUGCAACUGCUAAAAGUGUUUUUGAUUCUCUGAUCAUCAAUUGGAAUGCAACAUAUGACUAUUACAACAAAGUGAAUGCAAAGCAAGCUUAUUACCUGUCCAUGGAGUUUUUGCAGGGAAGAGCUCUCACAAAUGCUAUUGGCAAUCUAGAGCUAACAGGACAAUAUGCAGAAGCGUUAAAACAACUUGGACAGAACCUAGAGGAUGUUGCUAGUCAGGAACCAGAUCCUGCCCUUGGCAAUGGUGGUCUAGGCCGUCUAGCGUCCUGUUUUCUGGAUUCUAUGGCAACCCUAAAUUAUCCAGCAUGGGGAUAUGGACUUCGGUACAGAUAUGGCCUCUUUAAGCAAAUCAUAGCAAAGGAUGGUCAGGAGGAGGUAGCUGAGAAUUGGCUAGAGAUGGGAAAUCCAUGGGAGAUCGUAAGAAAUGAUGUCUCUUAUCCUGUGAAAUUCUAUGGCAAAGUGGUUGAAGGCACUGAUGGGAGAAAGCACUGGAUUGGAGGAGAGAAUAUCAAGGCUGUGGCACAUGAUGUUCCUAUUCCUGGCUACAAGACUAAAACUACUAAUAAUCUUCGUCUUUGGUCAACAACAGUACCAUCACAAAAUUUUGAUUUGGGUGCCUUUAAUGCUGGGGAUCAUGCCAAGGCCAAUGAAGCACAUCUAAAUGCUGAAAAGAUAUGCCACGUAUUGUAUCCAGGGGACGAAUCAUCAGAGGGGAAAAUUCUUCGCUUGAAACAACAAUAUACAUUAUGCUCGGCCUCCCUGCAGGACAUUAUUUCUCGUUUUGAGUCGAGGGCUGGUGAUUCUCUCAACUGGGAGGACUUCCCCUCUAAAGUUGCAGUUCAGAUGAAUGACACUCAUCCAACACUGUGCAUUCCGGAGUUAAUGAGAAUACUGAUGGAUAUAAAGGGAUUGAGCUGGAAUGAGGCUUGGAGUAUCACAGAAAGAACCGUUGCAUACACUAACCACACGGUACUUCCUGAAGCUCUGGAGAAGUGGAGCUUGGACAUUAUGCAGAAACUUCUACCCCGACAUGUUGAGAUCAUAGAAACAAUAGAUGAGAAGCUGAUGAACAACAUCGUCUCAAAAUAUGGAACGGCAGAUAUUUCACUGUUAAAACAGAAGCUUAAAGAUAUGAGGAUCUUAGACAACGUUGAUCUUCCAGCCUCUGUUGCUAAACUGUUUAUUAAACCUAAAGAGAAAACGGGGAAGUUGCUUGUUCAAUCUUUGGAGUCUAUUGCUGAAGGUGACGAGAAAACUGAGUCACAAGAGGAGGAAAACAUUCUAUCCGAGACAGCAGAGAAAAAGGGCGGAUCUGACUCUGAAGAAGCUCCUGAUGCAGAAAAGGAGGAUCCUGUGUAUGAGUUAGAUCCAUUUGCAAAAUACGAUCCUCAGUUACCUAGAGUUGUUCGAAUGGCAAAUCUCUGUGUUGUUGGUGGACAUUCAGUUAAUGGUGUGGCUGAGAUUCACAGUGAAAUUGUUAAGCAAGAUGUGUUCAAUAGCUUUUAUGAGAUGUGGCCUACUAAGUUCCAAAACAAAACAAACGGAGUAACUCCCAGGCGUUGGAUCCGGUUUUGUAAUCCUGAAUUAAGUGCAAUCAUUUCAAAAUGGAUAGGCUCUGAUGACUGGAUUCUGAACACUGAUAAACUUGCAGGACUGAAGAAGUUUGCUGAUGAUGAGGAUCUGCAAUCAGAAUGGCGUACUGCUAAAAGGAAUAACAAGAUGAAGGUAGUUUCGCUGAUAAGAGACAAGACUGGAUAUGUUGUCAGCCCAGAUGCGAUGUUUGAUGUGCAGGUGAAAAGAAUACAUGAAUAUAAGCGGCAGCUGCUAAAUAUCCUUGGUAUCGUUUACCGAUACAAGAAGAUGAAAGAAAUGAGUGCCAAAGAUAGAAUAAAGAGCUUUGUUCCAAGGGUAUGCAUAUUUGGUGGGAAAGCUUUUGCCACUUACGUACAGGCAAAGAGGAUUGUGAAGUUUAUCACAGAUGUCGCAGCUACUGUAAAUUAUGACCCUGAUGUUGGAGAUUUACUGAAGGUUGUAUUUGUCCCAGAUUAUAAUGUUAGCGUUGCUGAGAAGCUCAUUCCUGCCAGUGAAUUGUCCCAGCAUAUCAGUACCGCUGGAAUGGAAGCUAGUGGAACCAGCAACAUGAAGUUUGCAAUGAAUGGUUGUAUUCUUAUUGGAACUUUGGAUGGUGCGAAUGUGGAGAUCAGAGAAGAGGUUGGAGAGGAGAACUUUUUCCUCUUUGGUGCACAUGCACCUGAAAUCGCUGGUUUGAGGCAAGAGAGGGCUGAAGGAAAGUUUGUGCCUGACCCGAGAUUUGAAGAGGUUAAGGAAUACGUCCGCAGUGGCGUCUUUGGGACUAGCAACUAUGAUGAAUUGAUGGGUUCUUUGGAAGGAAAUGAAGGUUAUGGACGUGCAGAUUAUUUUCUUGUUGGCAAGGAUUUUCCCAGUUACAUUGAAUGCCAGCAAAAAGUUGAUGAAGCAUACCGAGAUCAGAAGCUAUGGACAAGAAUGUCUAUCCUCAACACAGCGGGUUCCCCCAAGUUCAGCAGUGACCGGACGAUCCAUGAGUACGCCAAGGACAUAUGGGAUAUCAGCCCCGUCAUCAUGCCCUGA
rnacentral:rRNA from 1 species